GCUGCUGAAACCGAAGACGUGGAAAUAUGCCAUCUGUAGAGAUUAGAGAGCUACAAAAAGAAUCAUGGGAAUCCCAGUAUGGAAGUUGUGAUGCAGAAUUCUCCCAGCACAAAUAGAAAGGGAAGAGAUCACCCGAAGUGGAGUCAUUCUCUUGUAAGAUGCGCACUGGAACUUGUUGCCAUGUUGAACUACCACAUUAGUAAUCAGAAAGCUCUCCUGUAAUACUAUGAGCUAUCAUUCUGUUCCCAGAAGAAGAUCUCAUUUGUACAAUAAGUGCUUGUAUUUUGCCACGUCUUUUUACCUAUGGUCAUGCCAUUGUAGUAUUGGUUUUUUCAAACAAUCAUUGUAGUACUUAUUUUCCAACAAGCACGGCAACAUUCUGCCCUGGGCAACCGUCAGCUUUUGUCAAAAUUUUGUCGCAGUUUCCAAGUUUUAUUUACGGACCUGUGUAGCAGUGCUACUAUUCACAUUCAAACAUUCGGUGUGCCACGUAUAAUAGCGCUACUGUUAUUUAGUAACCAUCAUAUGUAUCUGAAGCUGAUGAAUAAAUUACCGUGUCGUCGCGAACCACUUCAAAUUUCAGCUGUGACUGAAGAUGUGGAACUUUGAUUUCUUAUGUUAUGAUGUUCAUCGAGAGUUUCACCCCACCGACUAGUUCUACUCCAAUUAAGCAUACUGGUUUAUGAAUCUAGGACAGUGGGUUUUGGAAAUAAUGUGGGUUUAUUCAGAUCUGCAGGCAGGCCGAGCAUCCGGAGAGGUCACUGAAAGUGGUUUCUGAAUACUGUGUACAUGUUGAGAACAUCAGUCUGAAGCCUGUGCACAAGACAAAAUUGCAGAAUAUAUGAAGCAGAUCGGCCAAAAAAAAUGUAAAUACUGCACGCCACGUGGAUUUGAUUCAUGGCGAGCAAAGAUAGAAAGAGCUCCACUGCACUGCUGCAUUAGCCAUGUGCGCAGCAACUCGCUCGUGCCUUACGGACCGCAUAUGUAGCCCCAAACAAGAUCAUCCACUCAAUUAAGUGAAGAAGGGAUGAAGAGGCAACAGAUAGAAGCUCUGUUCUUCUUGAGGCUUUUAAUCCCCAUUUCCUCAUCACUGCCAUAGUGGGGUGCUCCCUGUUCUUCGUUGCGCUGCUGUGAUCGGCACUCCAUGAAAGGGCAGGUCUUACCUGUUUCAAUCAGAGGAAUUUUAACGCGAGCAGAUAUAUGAGAUAAUAAUCCCAGAAGGAGUUUCUUUCUUGUUAACUGAUCUUCUGGUCUGUCUGUCUGCCUUCCUCUGUUUGCAUAAGUAACACUACUAUUUUGACUUGUACAUGCACUGCUACCUGCUCACUACUAUCUCUAUAUUAGGCUGUUGAUUGCCCCUAA